rnacentral:lncRNA from 1 species
AAGACUGACUGUAUUCAUCAAAGCAUUAUUAAGCUGUACACUGAUAUUUUUUUCAUAAUUUUGAAACCAGUUACUGAAGGAGAUUUGACCCGUUUCGUAGUGGACAUUUACAAAAAUACGGUAUCACUCUGGUCCAAUUGCUGCUGUGCUCAAUUUUUCUUAUCAACAAUUUAAUUGCCGUUAUAAAAGCAUCACUUCUUUUGUAAGACCCUAAUGUUUAUAUCUCUUGCAAACAAAAAAUUACAUUGAUUUUAUAAAACUGUUUAUUAGCAAGUUUUAAUGACUUCGUUUCGUAGUGGACAUUGUGUUAGGGACACACCUUCUGAAAUAAAAAAUCCUAUGUUAAAAGCUGUUUAUUAAAAUAUGUUGGCUCUAAACAUACUUUUGAUAUAUUAAAGAACUUAUAUUAAGUAAAAUUAAUAUUUAUUUCUACAUUUUUUUACGAUAUUUUAGAGUAUGAAUGUUGAGCAGGCGGUCUAGGGACAUGCCAUUUUGGUUGUUUUGG